rnacentral:rRNA from 1 species
AUUGAACGCUGGCGGCAGGCCUAACACAUGCAAGUCGAGCGGAUGAAGGGAGCUUGCUCCUGGAUUCAGCGGCGGACGGGUGAGUAAUGCCUAGGAAUCUGCCUGGUAGUGGGGGAUAACGUCCGGAAACGGGCGCUAAUACCGCAUACGUCCUGAGGGAGAAAGUGGGGGAUCUUCGGACCUCACGCUCUCAGAUGAGCCUAGGUCGGAUUAGCUAGUUGGUGGGGUAAAGGCCUACCAAGGCGACGAUCCGUAACUGGUCUGAGAGGAUGAUCAGUCACACUGGAACUGAGACACGGUCCAGACUCCUACGGGAGGCAGCAGUGGGGAAUAUUGGACAAAGGGGGAAAGCCUGAUCCAGCCAUGCCGCGUGUGUGAAGAAGGUCUUCGGAUUGUAAAGCACUUUAAGUUGGGAGGAAGGGCAGUAAGUUAAUACCUUGCUGUUUUGACGUUACCAACAGAAUAAGCACCGGCUAACUUCGUG